CGAGUCGCUUACGGAAAAGGACUAAAUGGUCCAAUCAUGAUAACUAUACUAUAACCAUAACACCAUCACGCUGGCCAUUUUAGCUUUGGGUUCAAACCUUCAAACCGCUGUUAUUUUUUGAACCGGACGUCGGUGGAGACGGUCUAACCGGGUGGGUUUGAAGCCGCUGCUCGGAAAUCACAAUCCCGGAGGUGACGGUCCUUGCGGUGGCACACGACGGAGUUGUGUAAUGCCAGCGAUCGGAUUCCUAAAUGGCUUCGAACGCUUCAUUUCGCCCUGAGAUCGGACCCGAUGGUCUCCCUAUAGAAGCUCCUGUUAUCAGCUACACCGAGAAGAUCAUUGAAGCCGAGCAACUUCAAUUACAGAAAUACAUUCAAGAAAACUAUUCUAAAAUACGUGAUGUGGAGCGUGAGCUUGCAAAUCUUAACCUGGAGGUGAAACUUACAGCUGGGCCAAAAAAAGCAGCCCUUGAACUUUUGAGAAAGAAAAUAGAGGAAUCAACAGAGAGAAUUCGUGUGGCCAAGCUAAAGGAGGAACAGGCACGGAAGGCGUGGGAAGCAGCAUCAAAAUUAGUUACGGAUGAGGAAGCAACAAAGCAAAAGCUAUGUGAAGACUUGAGCAAUCUGGUUCAAGAGAGUGGUAGCUCUCAGUUUUCUCGGCUGGAGGAAUUAAAAAGACGAUUGGAAGCUUUGAAUCCAAGUCGUGCAUCAACUAAUCUCUAUCAUGAUGGGAGAUCAGGAAGCUCUUCUCAGGAUAGUACAACGCAAGAUGGUUCCUCUGUUCCCAAUGCAAGGGAAUCAAGUGGGGGAUCGGCCGAGAGUGUUCCCAACCAAAGUAAUGGUCAGAAAGUUGCAGUGACAAAUGGACCUAGUCAACAGCCUCCUAAUGAAGGCGAAGGAAGAAGUAAAAAGAAAGUCAACCUGCAAGUAAAAGGAAAGGGAAUUGGUGCUGUGCCCAAGGGUAGAUCUUCAGGUCCUGGCUGGACUGGUGCUGGCUUUGAUGUAGAUGGCAGAACUUGAUACUAACGAUAUUAUUGCACAAAAUACAUUUUGAGUGAGAAGUCUACACUUCCUGUACAAGGCAACUUAGCAAGCAUCAUGGUUUGAUUGGAAUUCUUGGGGGUUCUAAGAAGAGGAAGAAGAAAGAAGAAGACGACAAGCACACUGAAAAUAGCUCUGCAAUUCUGCCAAGUACCAAAUGGUGGUGGGACUGGGACAAAAGCUUUUUGUAUCAUCAAAAUUUCCAUUCCGUUUCGUUCUCAGAAGAAUUAACUCCCCAUUGCUACUCUGUUUCUUGCAAUUAAGAGUGUCUGGCAGCAAGUACUGUAUUAAAAUCCAAGUGACUCAGUAUCAGUCUGCACUUGCAGCCAUAAUACCUCUACUACUUGUAAUAGCAGAGUCCCUGUUUAGGAGUUAUUUGAUAGUACCUCUACUUGUAGUUGUUUAGGAGUUAUUUGAUAGUACCUCUACUUGUAGUAGCAAUGUCACAGUCUAGAAAUUAGGAGUAGUUAUUUGAUAUGGUACCUCUGUUUGUACUGGCUCAGUCACUCCUUCAGGGUUGCUUCAUAGCGCAAUCCUCGAUGAAUUUAUGCCGCAUUAGAGAAGUCC